GCCUGGGUGGCUCAGUCGGUUGAGUGUCCGACUUCGGCUCAGGUCAUGAUCUCACAGUUUGUGGGUUCGAGCCCCGCAUCAGGCU
rfam:Felis catus isolate Cinnamon breed Abyssinian chromosome A3, whole genome shotgun sequence.